CGUACCUGUCCUGCACAUAUCUGUUAAGCCCUUACGAUGUGGCCGUCUUCAGCAGUAAUUCCCUCGGAGAUUUUACAUGUUCAUGGUGCUUGUCAAGGCCAGUCUGCAAAAACUUCACACGUGCUCACUGUGAGCUAAGCCCCGUGCCAGUUUCACAGGUCCCACUCCUGUCCCCAGGAUCGCCGCACUCUGAGGAAAACAUGGGCCCACCGGGGAAGAUGAUAUCACUCACAAGGCAGUGAGUGAAAAAUGCCAAGGAGUCGGUUCUUUCCUUAAGGGAAUGCCCCAAAGACAGAAUAUAGGAGUCGUUGCCUCACAUCUUUUUAUUUGGAACAGAGAUCCUGGAUCUGAACGGACUCCAGGGUUCACUUUAGCCAGCUGUGGACUGCGGCUCAGCAGAAUCACGUGGUCCGAACCCCAGAUGUCCCACCCCCUCUGUGGCGUGACCACAUCUUGAAUCCAGCUGUUAAUCUGAGGCCCCUUGGUUUAGGAAGGAGAGCCAUGAACUGACCAGAUAUAGCAGAUUAGAGGGUCUAGGGCUGGCCAGCCUGCAAAAGGAAUGCCCAGGAGGAGACUCGGGGCUGAGACCCACAGCAGCUGUGACUGAGAAUCGGAUUCUGUUCAGAGUAAAAACAAGUGAGUACACACCUGUCAGAAUGGCUAAAAUGAAAUAUAGGAGGAACACACAAUGCUGACGGGGAUGCGCAGAAACCAGGUCACUCACACAUUGCUGGCAAAGAGCAUGGGCGGUUUCUGACGCACGCAGCGUGCGCUUACCGUGUGAGCCGGCAGUGCGCUCGUGGGCUUCUGUGCCGGAGAAACGGAAACCCGUGUUCCUACAGAAACCUGUCCUCACGUCCAUGAGCUCCUGAGUGGAUACGCAAGAUGCGGUGUGUCCUACAGUGGAACGUUAUUCUGCCAAAAAUAGGAAUGCAGUACUGACACACGCUGCACCAUGGAUGAACCUUGAAACAUGCUAAGUGAAAGAAGCCAGUCGCAGAAGACCACGUAUUACAUGAUUUCCUUUAUAUGGAGCGUCUGGAAUAGGCAAACGUAGAAAGACAGUAGGUUGAUGGUUGUUGCCUAGGGCUGGGGAAGGGGGUUGGAGGCGAUAGCUAAAGGAUGUAGUGUUUCUUUUAAAGCUGAUGAGAAUUUUUUAAAAUUGACUGUGGUGAUGGUUGCACAACUCUGUGGAAUAUACUAAAAACCAUUGAAUUGUACACUUUAAAUGGGUGAUUUGUAUGGUACGUAAAUAUAUGCAAUAAAGCCAUUACCAAAGAAAGAAAGGGAAAGAAAGAAACUUGUACACAAGUGUUCACAGCAGCUUUGUUCAUAACAGCCAAGGACUGGAGACAACCCAGGUGUCCUUCAGCGAGCGAAGGGUGAAAUGAGCUGUGGCAGGUCCAUACCACGGAAUACUACUCAGCAAUAGAAAGGAACUAUCAAUACACAUGACCUGGGUGAGUCGCUAGAGAAUUAUGCUGAGUAGGAAAAGCUAAUCUCAAAAGGUUACCUACUGCCUGAGCCCAUUUAUAUAAAUUCUUAAAGCGACAAAAUUAUGGAGAUGGAGAUCAGGCGAGUGGCAGCUGGGGGUCAGGGAGGCGAGGGGAAGGGCGGGAGGUGUGGCUAUAAAAGGGUGGCCUGGGGGAGCCUUGUGAUAUAAGCAUUCUGUCCGUCGACCGUUGACUGUGGUGGUCACACAAAUCUACAUGUGAUAAAAUUGCAUAGAACGAAAUAUGCACAGUCGUACAAAUGAAUGCGUGUUACGGGUGAAAUCUGAAUAAGGCCAGUGAUUCUCUUAGUGUCGAUUUCCUGAUUGCGAUAUUUUACUGUAGUUUUGUAAGAUGUUACCAUUGGGGGCACCUGGGUGAAGGGUAUAUAGGGUCUCUCAUUAUUUUUACAAGUGCAUGUGAGUCUAUAAUUAUCUCAAAAUAAAAAGCUUUUAAAAAAGGAAGAUCCUAAUCCGUAAAGGAUUAGGAAAAACCACUCCCUGCAGUAGCGAGUUGCCCAUUAGCAGGGGUAAGCAAGUGAAGGCUAAGGCAACUGUUUGUUAAGGGUGCUACAAAAGGGAUUUCUGAGGGAAUGAGAGGCCAGACUCACUCCCUUUGAGACACUUCCACCCAGAAGUAUGUCAGCAGAAGAGUCUGGGGGGUCAAAGAAAGGAGAGAAUCCUCUGGGCUUUGGGGUCAGCCACAGCUGGUCUGAUUCUGUGGUCAGAAGGAAGUUAACACUCAAUAGUUAGACGCUAUGUAAAGAGUAAAUACUUUUUGUUACUGAAAUCGAGGCUAAUUGAACCCAGGGAAGUGACAACUGGCCUAGAAAGCCUGUGCUCUCUCCUAGGGUCCGUUUUCAUUUAGCGGUUUUGUGCAUGAACCUGGUGCUGUAGAAAAACACGAAGCUUCCGUUCUCUGCCGUGUGGGGAGGCAUUGGUCAGGUGUCCCCACACCCUUUCAGAGAGCUCAGGGCCUCCCCAGGCCCUUGUCGCCCCAUGUCCCCCCAGACACUCAGCAGUGCAUGCGGCACGAAGCCGCGUUCCUCAGAGCCUGCCUUCCCACUGAGGGUCCCAGGAACAAAUGCAGCCCCGAGAGUCGGGUGGGACAGAAACAGAUGCUGCUUCUUUCGCUCGAGAGCCCACCUUGCAGAAAAUCUGUCCCAGACCCGUCUCCUUCUCCGGCUCUCUGCCCACAAGUAUGUUGCCGGGGAAUGGUCAGAGGCUGCGGAAGUUCCUGCUGCUCAGAGCAGGGCGAGGCGGCCUCGCUCUGGUAGAGCCCCAGGUUCCUGAGUUCUCCUCUCUCCUGCUGUCCUUGUCCCUCAGUCAUCGGGAGUUGGCUGUCAGCCUGGAAGGAAGCCAGUGGGAUUUUCCAGGUGAGAAGAACACCGGCCCGGCAGUCAGGAGCCCCGAAUUCUGGCCCAGUUCUGCCUCGCGCCCACCAUGUGACCUUGGGCAGAUACGUGACUGCUCCAAGCCUCUGCGUGUUGAAUGAAUCAGUGGCGGGUGGGCGAGGCCAGCCAGGGCAGAGAGCUUCCUCCUUCCAAGGCAGCACAAACCUCUUGGUCACGGCUGCCUGGGUCUCUGUGCUGGAGGAUCGUGAGGUUGUCCACACUCUGAGGGCAACGGCGUUGUAAUUGAUUAGUGAUGUCUGCCACCGGCGUGGGAGCGGCAUGUCUGGUGGGGGAGCAGCUGCUGGGAUUUGCCUAAGAAGAUGGUAUUUGUCCCUUAUUGUCAGCUGUCCCAUCGCCGUCCACCAGGCUCACUGGUAGCGCCUCUCACACCAGGGCCCGUGUGGAAGCCGACUUAGUUUUCCUCUUUAAAACAAUAACUGAGAGGCGAGAGGGUUUUUGUUGCUGGCAGUUCUGCAGGUCGGUCUUCCAUGGCAGCUGCUGUUUUCUUUCGCUCCAGGCCUGGUCUGAUUCCAGAGUAGGUGACAAAGGCCCAGACAGUGGCAUGGGGCGCCCUGGGAGGACGUGCGGGUCCCGGGCUGGGGUGGCUGUGCGCCCUGACCCUCCCUGCAGACGGCUCCCCGCAGCCUGCGCUCCCCGCUCUCGGCCUCCUCUCCCCGUCCCGGCCUCUUCAGCGACAAGGUCUCUGCGCUUUGUGUGGGCUCUGGGGAGGCGCCGGCCCCCUUAUCGCAGCCGAUAAUUGAGCUCUGUCUCCAGCAUCCUGGGUGCUGAACGGCAACAGGGAGCCCCGGGGCGUCUCGGGGGCUUCCGAGCAGGAGCAGCUUCUGCGUCCUCACGUGUCUCGGAGCCAUCCGUGGGAAGGGGAGUCUCCACACGCCGCUUCUUGGUUAAGAAAGAGCUCGUUGGUUUAGCAAAUAUUUACCCAGCAUCUCUAAGGAGGCAGGGCCCGUGCCGGGGGCUGGGUUACGGAAACAAACGUGAACUCCAGGAAGGGAAGGGACUGUCUUGGUUUCGGGGGAAGUGGAUCCGAAGUUCACGCCAUUAAAACCUUUUCGGUUGAGGCCAGGUCUUCUGCGUCACUGGUCUCUGACAACCUCUCUAGGACUCGGCGUCCGUCUCUGUAGAAUGGCAGGGCCAACAGCUGUGUCUGCUUUGCUGUGAGGACAAGGAGAUGUGGCCUGGGGUCCGGAUCUGCGGUCGGUUUCCGUGCUUUGACGUCGGUGUUGCCGGGACAGACGAGGCCCGUCUGCGGAAGUGAGCGCGUGCACAGGCUCUGUCAUCCGACCUGUUAUCUGCAUCUCAGCCAGGCUUCAAAUGCCCCUUUUCGUGCAGCCCCGCUGCUUAGUGCUUCUGUAAAGCCGUCUUGAUCCCUUAAAAAUAAAGGUUAGCGUUGUCGCCUUACUGAAAUUAUCAAUGAAUGGAUAGCCAAUUAUUUUUAGAACUGAGAACAGAACAGUGUUUGCUUGUUCAUUCUGGUCAUCGAUCUCUUGCUGCCAGUUAGUACGUGGAGACAGGUUCUGUGUGAUCCAGUGUCCCCUCCCAGCCUGACACCCAGCACAGGCCUUUCGAGGUCAUCGUGCUGGACCACUGUGUGCCCGGUCUCCCCACAGCGCUGGUAUCAGACACAUAUUAAAAAUGAGAUUGUCUGAAUACAAACAGGAAACUUUAAAAUUAUCCUACAGAAAUAGCUGGGCCUCCCCACACUCUACCCUGCCCUCACACCCGUGCACACAUACAUGUGCCCACAUCUGUCUGGGAGGCAGCAGGCAUUAUUUUGGGAAACUCUGUCUGUUAGGUAGCCUCUUACCAAAGUACAAAUUUCAGGUCCAAGAUGCUUUCUGGGUCCGCUUGGACCUACGAAUCUUUUUCCCUGCCAAGCCCACUUGUGGUUGAAAUGUCACCAGUUCUUAUGAGUUUAUACUGUCGGAGUUGGUCAUUUUGCUGCUUGGUCACCAAGGUUAAAUGAAGCUUUUAGAGCUCUUUAGCAUGUCCUGCCAGUCAGAAUUUACUGGGGAAAGGAUGUGAGCAGAGGCCCCAUUAAGGUGAUCGUAGAAGUCAAAGCAAGAGGCUGCUCAGUGAAGGGGGCUGUGACAGCUGGAGGCUUUGUGCUGAAUGUAACGCCAGCUGUUAGCUUAAUGAUUCAGAGCACCAGCACUGUAGUCUGUGGCAGUGGCACCCUCUAGAAUUGUUGCAGUGUUCAACCUGUACAACUGAACGUGGCAGCCCUGGGAGUCCAUCAGAUCAGUGUUCAAAUGUUGGCUCCUCCAUUACCAGCUAUCAGACUUGGACAAGUCAUUUAAAAACCCUGAAUCUCAGUAUCUGCAUCUGUACAGUGGGGCCCAUAGUGCAUACUGGUCAGGGCUGUUGGGAGGACUCAAGGAGGACAUGAAAGUAAGGCAGUUAGCCCAGUGCCAUAGUUCCCAGACUGUGCACCGCAGCACCCAGGGGUGCCCCAGUGAACUCACGGGUACACUGUGGAUGUUUUAGAUUUUCAAGAAAAACGCAGUGACGUCUAUCAGAGAUGGUGCCAACUGCUACUGUGAAGUUGUUUAGACCUAUUAAUAGUUUGGACUAUUAAGCUGUUAUACUAAAUGGUUAGGUAUCUCUUUUGGCCUAGGAAUGCAAUGAAAAAUUACUCAGACACCAAGGGCGCCGUGCAUGAACCAGCAAAGUCAGGGGUCUGUGGCCUAGUGUUGGGUGCAAAUCAGCUCUCAAUAAAUAGUAGAGGGUGUUUUAUAGUAAAAUAACCAGAAAGGCUAUGCCGACCCCGAGGUUUCCUUUCGUCUCCACUCUGCACACGUUUCACUUGUGGGGCUGGGGAUUGGUCCCAGGGUUUUGGGCUGUUCGUCCUGCCUCCCCAUCCUCACCUCUGUUCGCUUGUAAAAUGCAUUUCAGAACGUUGAUUUCCCGGCUCAGAUUUUGGAAAAACCCCAGGCUGUCUGCAGACAUCUCGUAGGGCAGUCACUGUGCAUCCAAAGGAUAAAAAUCUAGGAGAAAAUUAAUUCACUUGAGUGUCUGUGCCUCGCAGUGUCCCUGACAAGGGCCAGCGCCUCUGUCUGGACGCUGGAGUUGGGGGUGUCUUCCCCAUCAGGAGGCAGACUCUGGCGGUGCAGCCUGAUUUCUGCAGAGGGUGGCCCGGACCACCCUGAGCCUUUGAAGCAUACACAGCCCCGGCUGAGGGACCCCUCUGAGCUCGUGGAAGCAUCGUGUGAGGUGGGGCUGCUGCGCUGGAGGACGCCCCGGUUCUCCCCAGGCUGGGCUCGCAGACGGUGCACAGUACGGGGGCGAUGUAUGGAGCCACCACCCAGGGCUUCAGUUCACUUUCAUUGGGCGCGUUUUAAUUUCCCUCUGCCCCCCAGCCACUCUGGGCAUCCCGCGGACGGGGUGGUCUUUAGCCUGCAGACAGCACGUUGGGCUGUGUAAGGAUGCCAACGCGUGGUCAUCCUUGACUUGCAAAAACGGCAGGUCAAGACUUUCCUUAGUCCAACCUGAUAGGAACCGUUCGCCCUUUGUUAAAUCCCUCCCGUGCAGCCAGAGCUCGUGCACUCUCUGUCUCUGUCUGUAUAUAGCUAUAUCUGUUUUUUCCUGUUUUUAAACAAAAUUUAAUUGCACAACUAAAACAGGAAUGUGUUUUCCUUGUGGAAAGAAAGAUGGAAGGCCAAAAUCCCUUUUCCUCAGUGGCCACCCCUCGUGGCUGCCACCCUCCUCCCCAGAGAAGUUCAUGCGAUCCGUUUGGCAGCUCUCCUUCUAGAUGUUUUCUCUGUGCAUUUUAUGCAUUUGUGAACCUGUAGGCAGCAUGUGCAGCUGUCUUGGGUCCAUUUAGAUGAAAACGGUGCCAUGUUUUCUGUAUUGUCGGGCUUUUUGCCCUUCUCGGAACUGCGUCUCGGGGGUCUUUCUGAUUUAGUCCUGCAGCUCUGGCAGGUUCUUCUUAACGCCCUGUGCUCUCUCUUCACUCGGAGGGAAUCGUGCGGCCGUGUUACGGAUGAGGAAGAUGGAGUUCAGAGUGGGGAAAGUCACGCAGCUGGGAGCUGGGGAGCCGGUUCUGACUCCCGCCCAGGCUGAAUUUUUCCCCCGAGCCGUCUUUCCCCUGUUCCCAUGGCUCUGGCAGCCUGCCCAUCGUCCUUCCCAGACUGAUGUCAAACUCCCUUGAACCCAGCCGAGUUGAGGAUGAGCUUCCUGGCAGACCCACCAUUCGGGUUAAUGGAGAGUUACCAUCGAUAGCAUGGACGCCGGUUUCCGAGGAAUUAGAACAGAAUAAAAUAUACUUAACAUUGGCACUCGGGUGGAGAGUAAUUGAAUCUUUGACGAUCCAGAAGCGGAAUCAGGGCCUGCAGGGCCCCAGGUCAUCAUUAGGAAUAUCAGUCAUCACCGUGCGUGCUGGGCACAAGCCCUGCUAAUGGGCCUUCCUGGCUGCUGGCCCAAGCGGCUCUCGUCGUGUACGGUGUCCCCUGCUGCCGGGCCUUGUCCUCUGGCCAGAAGAGCAGGCUUGGAGAAGGGAACAGCCCUUGUCCAGUGUCAGAAAGUUCAGGGACAUCUGUGGGUGCGUGGCUGUCCCAGCUGUGGCUUUAGCAUCGUCCCUCCAGGUGUGUCCCGCUCGCACCUCCGCCGAGCACUUUCAGCCCGAGCUUGGGUUCUGCAGUCAGCACUGGCUUUGAGUUCUAGCCCAGACCGCCCCUCGUUUGAAGGAGUAAAUGUUUCUUCCCUUUUCGGCAAGAUGAAGCUCUGAGAGCUGAAGGAACUUCAAGGUGCCAGCUUGCCUAGAAUCUGUACAAGUUCCUUGUAUUUUUUUCUUUAUUUGCAAGUAGAUUCCUCACCUUAUAGGAUCAAGACUUCAAUCAGUGCAGAAGUUUAAGAAAAAUGUCAGUUGGAAGAAAAUUAUAUUACAACUCCCAGACUGAGGAGUCCUUCAGUAAAGGGCACUAACGUCUGAGCUCCGUAGCAACCAAAGCAAGAAGGGGAAAAGGUACCAGGGCCUGCUGAUUCUAAUCUACCACCCAGGCCCCUCAGGAGGCACUCUUCCCUUGGGGGCUCCCAUGGGGCUGUUCUCAGGCUAGAGAGCAUAGUCUGUCUGCUUUCUAGUAUCUAAAACCAUAAGAUUAACAGUGAUCAUCUUCCUGCAAGCGUGUUUACUCAGUAAGAUAGACAAAUAUUAUAUAUGUUUAUGUUUUUGCACAAAUAUGACCAAGUUGUGGAAUAAAAUACAAAGUUUGCAUGAAAUGUUAAGGUAAGCACCAGACAACUUUGUUACACUCCCCGAGUCUUUAGAAGUGGGGAUUUAUUCUCAUCUGCCACUGAGGAUCUGGUGCGUCGCUGGGAAGUUUUGAGAAGUCUUGACUCAAGUCACAAGGAUGGAAGAAGGAAGAUGGUGUCGGGUCAGGAAAAGGUGGAGGCCCGUGCAAGUCAUCAGGGCCAAGCUCAUCUUACCAAGCUGGCCCACGCUAUGAGUUUGUGGUGUGUCCCGGGAGCGGCACUGUCCCACGGAACUUUCUGCAAGAAUGGAAACAUGUCCAGUGUGCUGGCUGUUAACCCCGUGUGGCCACUGAGCACUUGAAAUGCAGCUUAUGCAACUGAGGAACCGAAUUUCAAUUUUGUUUCAUUUAACCUUAAAUAGCAAAAGAAAUGUUUUUCCUUUUCGUUUUAAAGUCACAUGCGGCCGUGGCUGCCAUAUUGGACAGCAUGGUAUGAAAAUGCUCGUACCUUUUGAUCUAGGUAAUUCUGUUUUUAGAGUUUUAUCCUAAAGGAAUAAUUGGAAAUUUUGACAGAUAUUUUGUAUGCGAGGAUCUUCCAUGAAGGGUGGUUUAUGACAGGGAACAAUUGAAACACUGUUAAUAUUCAACAGUGAGAGACGAUGGGUUAGAUAAAUUAUGGAUGAAAUGCCAGAAAGGCAUCAACAGUGUUUAUAAAGAACGUCACUGAGAGGGGACAUGCUUUUGAUCCAGCAAUUAAGAGAAGGAAGCAAGAAUCAGACUAGGGUGUCCGAACAGACACACGGAAAAAUGACUGGAAGGAAAUGCAUGAAAAUAACAGUCAUUGCUGGUGAGUUUAUCGGUGCUUUUUAUUUCCUGUUCUGUAUGACUGUGCGUUUGGCACACUGCCUGCACUGAGCGUGGAGAUCGCCUUAGAUUCAGAAGGAAGAAUAUUUUUUCAAGAUAAGACAGGUGUCCAUUGCUCAAUCAGAGUUGCCGGGUUGGGCGUGCAGGGGCUUCAGGG